rnacentral:lncRNA from 1 species
AGCAAAUCAAGGUGAAGGCACCCACUUCAUCCUCUGUUUCUUUACUCUGUUCCCAAGGGACUCUAAAGGCCCAGCUGCUGGUGAGUGAGAUGAAGGGACGGUGGGGUGUGGGAGCCCUACAAAACAGUCACCACCCCCAGAAACCCUGGAGUGACAUGGGCCUUGGUCCCUGGAAGGGAUGAUCAGAGCAUCAGGUUCCUAGAGAGAUUCCCUGAGACCAAUAGGAAAAGAUGGAGCAAACAUACAUAUAGUUCACAGCCUAAUCCACAGCCUGGAUUUUCUUCAGAAUUCUCUGAGCAGUGUCCUCUGCCUGCUGGGAGUGUGUGUGUGUGUGUGUGGGGGGGGGGGGUUGGUACUGUGGAAUCCCCCAUUCUCUCUGCAGCUCCAGUCACACCAUAGGCAAGCAGGGUCUGAGGGAAGACCAUGGCAAAGGGAGCCACCAGCAAGAGCAACCAUUGCCUGAUUCUGAGCCUUUUCAUUCUGCUGAGCUAUCUGGGGACCAUACUGGCAGAUGGUGAGUACUCAGGGUCUACAGGGAGGGGGUUGAGUAACAGAACAUGGACCUAGUUUAAGUCAGGAAGCUCACAUCUGGGCUACAGGGAAGCUGCUAGAAUUCUCUUUCUUUCCUUCAGUGACUUGGCACCUUGGCUCUCCAUAGUUCCACACCACCCGGUCUUCAGUGGUUUGAAGAAGGAAGUCAUGAAAAAGUUAUGGCAGGGAUGGUGUGGGAGGAAUUACAUGGAUAAAUUGCACAGCCGGCAGAAACAAGCAUCUGGUGAUGCCCCCGACACCUGGUGUCUGCAGGGAGAUUAAACCAGUCACCAGACUGGAUAUACUGGGGACAAUGCUAGAAUGUAAGGCAGGCUAUGCUCUGAAGACUUCCUUCUCCUUGGAUUCCUCCCAAGCCCCACACAGGGACUUCUUUGUCCUUGAACUUUCUUUCCCACCAUCCUGUGGUACUUCUAGCAGGUCACAACAGGUACUUUGAGGGACAAGGUAGCCACACCACCCACUUUCUCACUUUUACUCCCUACACCCCUGUUUUUUUCAUCUCCUCCUUUCGUUUCGAUGUUUUGUUUUUAGGCAAGGCCUCACACUACCACUCUCACUGUAGAAUCAGAAACAAUCCCUUGUCUCUUGUGUUCAACCAAAUGCUGGGAUUACAGGUGUGUGCCACCAGGCUCAGCUUCAGUGUCUGUGUGACUCUUCAGCCACCAGCCUGCUCUCCCUUCCCUACCUUUCUAGCCUUCCUCACUUUUCUAUCCACUGAGUGUCUUUUAGACCCUCAUGUAGCAGACGGCAAUCUCCUGCCCAAAGACCACUCAUUAGGAGCUGAAACACCUUGUCCUCUGGAGGCCCCUGGCAAUGAUUCUGGAUGGGGACCUAUGGAAACCUCUGCCCUUGUUCCCAGGCCCCAUGUAAUCUACCUCCUGGCUAGAUAGCAUCAGAUAAUGGUGUUCAUUAGGCAGGAGUGGCUUCUUUAGUUCUGUAAACGUCAACACUAAGUUUUUAUUCAGUCUGGUGGGCCUCACUAUAUUUCUAGUUCUGCAUCAACUACUCAGUUCUGCUUUUGGUGUGACAGUGGCAGAAGGCAACAAUCUGAUGGCUGAGCAGCAGACUUGUCCUCAAACCUAGAUUAGGGUGUUUCCCAUGGACCAGUAUUGGUGCCCAUCCCCCCAGAGUGUCUUCAAGAGUAUUCUGAUAACUACAUCUUUUCCAGGCAGCACUGGGUUCUAUGCUGCCUGUGAAUCUGGGUCAGCUAGAAAUAACAGAAGGAGGUCCUGGGUUUAAAGGUCUUUUGGUCUCUCCAUGGCUGUCCAAUGCAUUCUUUGGAUCCCAUGGGGCACAGAGGACUCUCCUUAAAGCCUGAAGUGCUUGCCCAGGGAGAGGUGGAGAACUGACCUCAGUCUUUUUUUCUAGGUGAGAGAAGAUGAGAUAAGAUUUACAACCAUCUGGAGAACACUAGAUGCUCUGUCAGUCAAGAGUCCUUGUCCCUUUAUCCUAGGGAGCUCUGAACACAUGAGGGACCUGUUGAUUUUCUGCAUCAGUGUCUCAAUUCUGGAUACCUUGUCUGACUGUGAUAUGUCCAUCUAAUACCCUAGUGGGAAAUAGCUCAUCUCAUGAUGCCUUCCUGAGGCCUGAUGGUACUUCCAAUAGCCCGCAAACCAAAUGCCACUCUGUCCCAGAGCCCAUUAUCACCUCAGGAUCCAGGCUGGCUUCUACCCAAGCAAGGUGAUGCUCCAAUUACAAACUGCUCUGGGCCAUUUCCUAGGCUUAACUCCUCUUGCUGAUAGAUUGUUCCAGGCUAUGGAACACUAGAAGGAAAUCCAGUCUUGCUCCUCAUGGGUGUAUUAUCUCAGAAUGCCUUCAACCUACAAGAAUAGAGAUGAACAGGUGUAACUGAGACUCUGUGACCUACAAAUACUUCAAUUUUGACAUCAUUGCUGUAUUAGUUAUUUUCUAUUGCUAUGAUAAAACACCAUAAAGAAGGAAGAUGUUGUGGGCAGAUAGCUUCAAAGGGACAAGAGUCCAUCACCAUCACAGCAGGGAGCACAGCAGCAGGCAGGCAUGAUGGCUGGGGCAGCGAGCUGAGAGCUCACAUCAUAAACCUCAAGCAAGAUGCAGAGAUGGAGAAAUGGGAAUUGCAUAGGUUUUUGGGUUUCAGAGCCACAUUCCCAAUGAUCCACUUCCUUAAGUAAGAUUACACCUCCUUAAUCUAUCUAAACAGCUGCUACCACGUGGGUAGUCAAAGACCAGAGCCUAUGCAGGAGAGUUUCCUUUAUUUUUAUUUAUCUUUUUAUGAAUUAUUUUAUUAAUUUACAUUUCAAAUGAUAUCCCCCUUCCUGGUUAUACCUCCACAAACCCCUCAUCCUACCCUCCCUCUCUUCUUUCCCCUUUGCCUCUAUGAGGGGUCUCCUCCACCCACUCAUCCACUCCUGCCUCACUGCUCUAGCAUCCCCCUAUGCUGGGGUAUCAAGCCUCCUCAGGAAAAGGGGCCUCCCUUCCCAUUGAUGAUAUAAGGCUAUUCUCUGCUCCAUAUGUAUCUGGAGCCAUGGUUCCCUCCAUGUAUACUCUUUGGUUGAUGGUUUAGGUCCUGGGAGCUCUGGGGGGUUCAGUUAGUUGAUAUUGUUCUUCCUAUGGGAUUGCAACCCCCUUCCUCUCCUUCAGUCCUUCCCCUAGAACUUCCAUUUGGGUCCCUGAGCUCAGUCUGAUGGAUGGCUGUGAGUAUCUGCAUCUGUAUUUUUCAAGUGCUGGUAGAAUCUCUCAGGGUUGUACAGGAACAUUUCUGGGUUAAAAAUUUUGUGAUGUGUGGGUGGCUCCAUCCCUCAACAGGGUCCAGUUUCAAUCUACUGGAGGUGGUCUGUACAGGUUGUAUCUCCUCGUUGUUGGGUAUUUUUGCUAAUGUCAUCCCCAUUGGGUCUUGGGAGUCUCUCACUUCCCUGGAGUCUAGGACCAGUUCCUCAUUACCCACUGCUACAUGCUUCUAUUCAAUUUAAUGAUCCUUUGAACUUCUCUCCUGUCCCUUCCAAAGACCGAUCUUGCUCCCUUUUUUCUCUCCCCCUCCUUUUUCUCCCAUGUCCCUUUCUCCCUCUAUCUCCUGUGAUUGUUUUGUUCCCUGUUCUAUGUAGGACUGAAGCAACUACAGUUUGGUCUUCCUUAUUCUUAAGCUCUGAGAGUCUUCUUUAAACUACCACUCUAAACAUUCACAGUAGCAUCGAGGGGUUGUUCCUGAGUGCCAGGAUAAUAAUGACGUGAGACAGAAAAAAAAUCACAGCAUUUACUGUGGAGAUGAGUGGUCUCUACUUGUUGGGGCCUGAUUGAUCCUCUUAGGAAGUCAAUCUGGGUCUUUGAGGUGGUUCACUUUUAAAUUGUUUGAGAUCUAUUUUUAUUUUAUGUGCAUAAUAUUUUAACUUCAUCAUGCACGUGUACCAUGUGUGUGAUUGGUGCCCUUGGAAACUACAACAGGGCAUAGGAGCCCCUAUAAAAUGGAGUUACAGGCAGUUGUGAACUACCAUGUGGUUGCUGGGAAUAAAUCUAGAUCUUCUGCAACAGCAACAAGUGCCCCUAAGCCCUGUGCCAUCUCUCUGGCCUCCGUUUUAUAGUUUUACACGGUUGACACAGCAGCUUUCAUCUGUAAUGGACUUUAUUCCUGGGGCUCCUUUUCUCCUCAAACUAUACCUUUUGUAUUUUUCCUUUCUCAGCUUGCUACUUUUCAUUAUAGAUCUGCAUAAGAGUGAUCACUAACACCCACAUGACAGUCAAUACCAAGAUGUCUUGAAAUAUCUUCUGUCAAAAUCAUUAAUCCUAAACUCUUCAAUUUAGUCUUAGACAGUUUUUUCCCCCCAGGGGAGGGGAGGGCAGAGCCCAAAAGUAAAGACAUUCU